GGUCACACCAAUAGGGGGUCACACCAAUAGAGGGUCACACCAAUAGGGGGUCACACCAAUAGAGGGUCACACCAAUAGAGGGUCACACCAAUAGAGGGUCACACCAAUAGAGGGUCACACCAAUAGGGGGUCACACCAAUAGGGGGUCACACCAAUAGGGGGUCACACCAAUAGAGGGUCACACCAAUAGAGGGUCACACCAAUAGGGGGUCACACCAAUAGAGGGUCACACCAAUAGGGGGUCACACCAAUAGAGGGUCACACCAAUAGAGGGUCACACCAAUAGAGGGUCACACCAAUAGAGGGUCACACCAAUAGAGGGUCACACCAAUAGGGGGUCACACCAAUAGAGGGUCACACCAAUAGGGGGUCACACCAAAAGGGGGUCACACCAAUAGAGGGUCACACCAAUAGAGGGUCACACCAAUAGAGGGUCACAUCAAUAGGGGGUCACACCAAUAGAGGGUCACACCAAUAGGGGGUCACACCAAUAGAGGGUCACACCAAUAGAGGAUCACACCAAUAGAGGGUCACACCAAUAGAGGGU